rnacentral:lncRNA from 1 species
CUGGGAUGGCCCUGCUCCUCGGUGGCCCGCCUGGCCCNNNNNNNNNNACACACACCACACACCAUAGACACACACACCAUAACACACACACCAUAGACACACACACCACACACCAUAGACACACACACCACACACCAUAGGCACACACACCACACACCAUAGACACACACACCACACACCAUAAGCACACACACCACACACACCACAGACAUACACACCAUAGACACACAGACACACAUGCCAUAGACACACAUGCCACACACGACACACCACAGUCACACCACACAUACACCAGACACCAAGACACACACACUACAUACACACCAUAGACACACAUACCUACCACACACUACAAACCAUAGGCACAUACACCAUAGACACACGCGCUACAUACACACCGUAGACACACCACAUCUACACACACACCAUAGACACACACACCCACCACAGAUGCACACAUACCAUGACACAACCAGGCACACACACUAUGACACACACACACCAUGACACACAAACACACACGACACACACACCAUACACACACACUAUGACACACACACACACCAUGACACACACACACCAUAUACACACAAACACCACAGACACACACACCAUAGGCACACACAAUGACACACACAAACACACCAGGACACACACACCAUAGACACACACAUACCAUGACACACACGCACCCCAUGACACACACCACACACAGCCACCCUCUGCUCUACCAGCUUUGCCUCUGUUCUCCGACAGCACCAGUGUUGACACGCCAGAGGCUGCCUGGGCCCCACUCCUUCCCAGCUGUCUCCAGGAUUAGGGAAGCCCCAGGCGGAUCCAGGGCUGCAGGAGCCUCCCUACCCAGCCCCCAUGCUGGUCUGUCUUGGGUCCAUAAACACAAGUCAGCCACCUGUCACCGGGCGGCAGGAAGUGCAGGCUCUGUAGCAGGAACAGAAGUACAGAGAAUGGCGUCCAGCCCUCCUUAAGGACUCUCAAUCCAUGAGACAGGAAGCCCCACAGGGAAGCAGUG